AGGGUGUAAACGCUGCAGACUUGGUGUUGGAGGCCCUUUGGGGGCAUUCAGUGCCGGAGAGAAGUUGUUAAGUCUGCUACUUGGGGAGUACGUCCGCAAGGAUGAAACUUAAAGGAAUUGGCGGGGGAGCACCGCAACGGGAGGAGCGUGCGGUUUAAUUGGAUUCAACACCGUAAAACUCACCAGGGAAGACUGUUACAUGAAGGCCGAGAUGAAGACUCUGCUAGAUUUUCAGAGAGGAGGUGCAUGGCGUCAGUGACUGU
rnacentral:rRNA from 1 species